CCCCAGCUGGCUUAGUUGGUAGAGCAUGUGACUCUUGAUCUCAGGGUUGUGAGUUCAAGACCCACGUGGGA
rnacentral:tRNA from 1 species